rnacentral:rRNA from 1 species
UAAAAACCCCGACUUCGGAAGGGGUGUAUUUAUUAGAUACAAAACCAAUGCCCUUCGGGGCUCUUUGGUGAUUCAUGAUAACUAUACGAAUCGCACGGCCUUGCGCCGGCGAUGGUUCAUUCAAAUUUCUUCCCUAUCAACUUUCGAUGUUUGGGUAUUGGCCAAACAUGGUUGCAACGGGUAACGGAGGGUUAGGGCUCGACCCCGGAGAAGGAGCCUGAGAAACGGCUACUACAUCCAAGGAAGGCAGCAGGCGCGCAAAUUACCCAAUCCCGACUCGGGGAGGUAGUGACAAUAAAUACUGAUACAGGGCCCUUUCGGGCCUUGUAAUUGGAAUGAGUACAAUUUAAAUCCCUUAACGAGGAACAAUUGGAGGGCAAGUCUGGUGCCAGCAGCCGCGGUAAUUCCAGCUCCAAUAGCGUAUAUUAAAGUUGUUGUGGUUAAAAAGCUCGUAUUUGAACCUUGGGCGUGGCAGGCCGGUCCGCCUCACCGCGUGAAUGGUCCAGCCGGGCCAUUGCCUCUGUAAAAACACAAACCGAUACAGCAAAUGGAUAGGAGCUGAAAUUUAUCUGAGUU